CCCUUAGACGUUCUGGGCCGCACGCGCGCUACACUGACCAGUUCAACAAGCAUCCGUCCUUGGCCGACAGGCCCGGGCAAUCUUUGAACGCUGGUCGUGAUGGGGAUAGACUUUUGCAAUUUUUGGUCUUCAACGAGGAAUUCCUAGUAAACGCAAGUCAUCAACUUGCAUUGAUUACGUCCCUGCCCUUUGUACACACCGCCCGUCGCACCUACCGAUUGAAUGGUCCGGUGAAGCCUCCGGAUUGGCGCGCACCUCGGUGCCGCCGAGAAGUUGGCUAAACCUUACCAUUUAGAGGAAGGUGAAGUCGUAACA
rnacentral:rRNA from 1 species